GACGAACGCUGGCGGCGUGCUUAACACAUGCAAGUCGAACGGUAAGGCCCUUCGGGGUACACGAGUGGCGAACGGGUGAGUAACACGUGGGUGAUCUGCCCUGCACUUCGGGAUAAGCCUGGGAAACUGGGUCUAAUACCGGAUAGGACCACUGCCUGCAUGGGUGGUGGUGGAAAGCUUUUGCGGUGUGGGAUGGGCCCGCGGCCUAUCAGCUUGUUGGUGGGGUGAUGGCCUACCAAGGCGACGACGGGUAGCCGGCCUGAGAGGGUGACCGGCCACACGGGGAAUGAGAUACGGCCCAGACUCCUACGGGAGGCAGCAGUGGGGAAUAUUGCACAAUGGGCGCAAGCCUGAUGCAGCGACGCCGCGUGAGGGAUGACGGCCUUCGGGUUGUAAACCUCUUUCAGCACCGACGAAGCGCAAGUGACGGUAGGUGCAGAAGAAGGACCGGCCAACUACGUGCCAGCAGCCGCGGUAA
rnacentral:rRNA from 1 species